rnacentral:rRNA from 1 species
ACGUAGGUGGCAAGCGUUAUCCGGAUUUAUUGGGUUUAAAGGGUGCGUAGGCGGCGAUUUAAGUCGAUGGUGAAAGGUAGCAGCUUAACUGUUUUACAUGCUGUCGAUACUGAAUUGCUUGAGUUACCAAGAGGCAAGUAGAAUUUCCGGUGUAGCGGUGAAAUGCUUAGAUACCGGAAGGAAUACCGAUUGCGAAGGCCACUUGCUAUAGGUAAACUGACGCUGAUGCACGAAAGCGUGGGGAGCGAACAGG